GAUGAACGCUGGCGGCGUGCCUAAUACAUGCAAGUAGAACGCUGAAGGAGGAGCUUGCUCUUCUGGAUGAGUUGCGGACGGGUGAGUAACGCGUAGGUAACCUGCCUGGUAGCGGGGGAUAACUAUUGGAAACGAUAGCUAAUACCGCAUGACAACAGUUAUUGCAUGAUAACUGUUUAAAAGGGGCAACUGCUCCACUACCAGAUGGACCUGCGUUGUAUUAGCUAGUUGGUGAGGUAACGGCUCACCAAGGCGACGAUACAUAGCCGACCUGAGAGGGUGAUCGGCCACACUGGGACUGAGACACGGCCCAGACUCCUACGGGAGGCAGCAGUAGGGAAUCUUCGGCAAUGGACGGAAGUCUGACCGAGCAACGCCGCGUGAGUGAAGAAGGUUUUCGGAUCGUAAAGCUCUGUUGUAAGAGAAGAACGAGUGUGAGAGUGGAAAGUUCACACUGUGACGGUAUCUUACCAGAAAGGGACGGCUAACUACGUG
rnacentral:rRNA from 1 species